UGAGUACGAGCUGCUACGGCAGCGAAGUGGGUGAUGUCAAGCUUCCAAGAAAAGCCCUAUACCCGUUAAGGCAUGACGGCCUGUACCCGAAACCGACACAGGUGGGGUGGUAGAGAAUACCGAGGGGCGCGAGGUAACUCUCUCUAAGGAACUCGGCAAAAUGGCCCCGUAACUUCGGGAGAAGGGGUGCCACCGCAAGGUGGUCGCAGUGAAGAGGCCCAGGCGACUGUUUACCAAAAACACAGGUCUCCGCUAAGUCGCAAGACGAUGUAUGGGGGCUGACGCCUGCCCAGUGCCGGAAGGUUAAGGAAGCUGGUCAGCGAAAGCGAAGCUAGCGACUGAAGCCCCGGUGAACGGCGGCCGUAACUAUAACGGUCCUAAGGUAGCGAAAUUCCUUGUCGGGUAAGUUCCGACCCGCACGAAAGGCGUAACGAUCUGGGCGCUGUCUCGGAGAGAGGCUCGGCGAAAUAGAAUUGUCUGUGAAGAUGCGGACUACGUGCACCCGGACAGAAAGACCCUAUGAAGCUUUACUGUAGCUUGGUAUUGUGCCCGGGCUCUGAAUGCGCAGGAUAGGUGGGAGACAUUGAUGCAUGGCUUGCGGGUCAUGUGGAGUCAACGGUGAGAUACCACUCUUUCAGAGCUAGGGUUCUAACAGCCACCCGUUAUCCGGGGGCUGGACAGUAUCAGGUGGGCAGUUUGACUGGGGCGGUCGCCUCCUAAAAGGUAACGGAGGCGCGCAAAGGUUUGCUCAGGCUGGUUGGAAAUCAGCCGACGAGUGUAAAAGCAGAAGCAAGCUUGACUGUGAGACCUACAAGUCGAACAGGGACGAAAGUCGGCUUUAGUGAUCCGACGGUUCUGAGUGGAAGGGCCGUCGCUCAACGGAUAAAAGUUACUCUAGGAUAACAGGCUGAUCUCCCCCAAGAGUUCACAUCGACGGGGAGGUUUGGCACCUCGAUGUCGGCUCAUCGCAACCUGGGGCUGAAGUCGGUCCCAAGGGUUGGGCUGUUCGCCCAUUAAAGCGGUACGCGAGCUGGGUUCAGAACGUCGUGAGACAGUUCGGUCCAUAUCCGGUGCAUGCGUAAGAACGUUGAGAGGAGUUCUCCCUAGUACGAGAGGACCGGGAGGAACGCACCUCUGGUGUACCAGUUAUCGUGCCAACGGUAAACGCUGGGUAGCCAUGUGCGGAGAGGAUAACCGCUGAAAGCAUCUAAGUGGGAAGCCCACCUCAAGAUGAGUGUUCUCAUGGCUUAAGCCAGUAAGGUCACGGGAAGAACACCCGUUGAUAGGCUCUACGUGGAAGCUUGGUAACAGGUGAAGCGGAGGAGUACUAAUAGACCGAGGGCUUGAC
rnacentral:rRNA from 1 species